UUUAAGGCCUGUGGAAGGGAUGCUCUGUC
rnacentral:piRNA from 1 species